rnacentral:rRNA from 1 species
CCUACAGGGGGCAGCAGUGGGGAAUAUUGGACAAUGGGGGGAACCCUGAUCCAGCCAUGCCGCGUGUGUGAAGAAGGCCCUCGGGUUGUAAAGCACUUUCAGUGAGGAAGAACGCCUGGUGGUUAAUACCCAUCAGGAAAGACAUCACUCACAGAAGAAGCACCGGCUAACUCCGUGCCAGCAGCCGCGGUAAUACGGAGGGUGCGAGCGUUAAUCGGAAUUACUGGGCGUAAAGCGCGCGUAGGUGGCUUGAUAAGCCGGUUGUGAAAGCCCCGGGCUCAACCUGGGAACGGCAUCCGGAACUGUCAAGCUAGAGUGCAGGAGAGGAAGGUAGAAUUCCCGGUGUAGCGGUGAAAUGCGUAGAGAUCGGGAGGAAUACCAGUGGCGAAGGCGGCCUUCUGGACUGACACUGACACUGAGGUGCGAAAGCGUGGGUAGCAAACAGGAUUAGAUACCCCGGUAGUC